GGCGUGGUCGUCCCCAAUGGCGAGGUCGCGGAAUUUGGCGUGGAAGGGGGCGUGGAAGAGGGCGUGGCCAAGGGCGUGGCCAAGUUGUUAUCAAUAUAUUUACAAGGGACUAAGGAGGUUAGAAAGUCUUAACUAAAGAG